UCCUUUCUUCUUUGACACUGAACGUUGUGAUAUAAACAGCGUAGACUCAUAAGCCUGCAGUGCAAACAGUAUCUCUCCGUUUCAAGCCAACACGGUUGAUGCACCAGCACGGCAAAUAGGUCAUGUCUCCAUUGUUAUUAAACUCCUGAAAUAUUUUAUAAAAAACAUUUUUAGCGCAUGAAAAGCAUUUGCCAGAGAACAUGCGCCUCGUAUUCAAAACCACCCUCCUGAUUUCUGUAAAAGAUAGACAGGAACAUGGGCAGGAUGUUUAUACAGCAAAAUGUAAACAUUUUCCCUGGCCUUCUUUAAAUAAAAAAUCAAGCAAAAGCCCCGUUAGAUCAGCUAAUACUCAAUCUGAUGCGAUAUGCCCGUCUGUUCGCAGCGUCUUGUGUAGAUACUGGACUUUUUUUUACACAUGAAUAUUGUUUGUGUAAUGCAGUCAUAAUAUUUACGCAGGGACGCAGGAGGAGUGAACACCGGACUGCCGAGCUUUGAGCACAGAAACCCGGACUGGGACUUGAGAUCGACUCCUGCCGGCAGUUUUACCAUCGAAUGAUCCAGGAAUUACAGCUGGAGUGGGCAGGCGUGCGGCUUUGGCCACAGGAAGCUGUGAAUUAUUUGGAGAAUGGAAGAUGUCUUAUGGGGAGACAUACUGGCCCCCCACCCACCCACUCACCACCUCAAAAUGACCUCUGACCCCUUCAUGUGUUUAUAUCAGACGGUGGAAGUGAGAAAUAGUGAUGAGUCACUCUGGCUGUGUGUUUACACUCCGGAGUCACGCAAGGAAGGAAAUCAGCUACGGUCUGCUAAAAGUGGCGAGGUGACAGAGAAUAGCUGCAGUCCCCGAGCGCUGCAGUGAUUUACCUCUCGCAACCAGAAUUUAUUUCACAUCAUCUGUGCUGUGAAGACUUUCGAACCGACAGAAAACAGCAGCAUUCAGUAGCGCUGUGGACUUAUGUCGAGGCAAAGGCAACCCAGCAGCAAAAUAAGUGGUAGUUACUAAUGAUGUACUGUACGUGCAAGUACAGUAUGUGUGUCCAUCUAUUUCUAUUUCAACUGAUAAAACAGAUGUAAUAGGAAGGAUGAUUCAUCAAGAAAAUCAUGCAUAAAUUGAAUUUGAGGAAAUUCUUGAUGUAUUGAUGUCUUUCUAAUCAAGGCAGGUAAAACACACAUCACUGUCAUAGAAUGAAAACUUGUAUCUCCACACAUUAAAUGUUUUUUCAGUUUGAUGACUGUACAUUUCACUGCCGGAUUCAUCUUGAAACAUUUUCAUAAUGUUUCUCAGCUACAAGGAGAAAAUCUAUCUUGUUAAUUUAAAUUAAAAAUUAAAAUCUG